GAUGAACGCUGGCGGCGUGCCUAAUACAUGCAAGUCGAGCGAACGGACGAGAAGCUUGCUUCUCUGAUGUUAGCGGCGGACGGGUGAGUAACACGUGGAUAACCUACCUAUAAGACUGGGAUAACUUCGGGAAACCGGAGCUAAUACCGGAUAAUAUUUUGAACCGCAUGGUUCAAAAGUGAAAGACGGUCUUGCUGUCACUUAUAGAUGGAUCCGCGCUGCAUUAGCUAGUUGGUAAGGUAACGGCUUACCAAGGCAACGAUGCAUAGCCGACCUGAGAGGGUGAUCGGCCACACUGGAACUGAGACACGGUCCCGACCCCUACGGGAGGCAGCAGUAGGGAAUCUUCCGCAAUGGGCGAAAGCCUGACGGAGCAACGCCGCGGGAGUGAUGAAGGUCUUCGGAUCGUAAAACUCUGUUAUUAGGGAAGAACAUAUGUGUAAGUAACUGUGCACAUCUUGACGGUACCUAAUCAGAAAGCCACGGCUAACUACGUG
rnacentral:rRNA from 1 species